rnacentral:misc_RNA from 1 species
UUUUUUUUUUUUUUUUUGCUUAAAUGGGAUUAAUCAUCAAUGUAUAUUUUAAAGUGUUGAUAAAAUUUGAUGAGAAAAAAUAUUAGUGAGAUAGUAAUUAUAAUUUUUAAAACUUCACGUUGAUCCCAAAUACAAAAGCACAAAAGCAAUAUAUUCUCUCAAUAAUGAUAAAAUUUGUGGUCUUUUUCUUUGGCACAAUUUAGGUUCAAAACUAGCAUUGCAAAAAAGAAAAGAUUAUUUAUCUCCUUUAAAAAAAAAAAAUCCUCCUCUCUCCUUUUUGCUGUCCACAAUCAUCAAAAUUUCUGACUCCACCAUUGUGCUUCACAAUUUUAUGCAUUUACGAAGUUUUAAGCAUUAUCACAACAUGGAGAGGGUUGAUUUGAAUGAAAAACUAAAACAUACAAUAUCUGUUCUGCAUUUUUGUUGUUUUAAGGUUACGUUUGGUUCUACAUUUUUAUCGUUCUAAGGUUAAGUUUAGUAAAACAUAAUGUAAUAACGUAUGAUCAAUUAUGUAAUACAAUCAAGAAAUUGUAAUAUAAUUUAAUUAUCAUUACAUUUCUCUAUUUGGUAAUAUAAUGAUAAUUUUUAUUU